GCCCAGACUGCGGGCUGCGCUUGGUCGGGCACCCCAGGCAAAAAAGAAAAAAAAAAAAGAGAAAGAAAGAGGAGGAGACAGUGAUUGCAGCCUCUCCCGGCGCAGGUGGCAGAGCCUUGCGGCUUUGGAGAGAGGUGGAGCCUUGGUGAGGUUGGGAGGACUGCCUAACUGCGAUCUUUUUCUCCAUUCUUCCUCCUGGGAACUUCUCCGCCCUGAAAGGGUAGCGUGAGCUUCAUGCCUUCGGCCGGCCGUGUUAUACUCGUUAGACCCAAUUCACCAUGAAUCCUUUGAAAGACUAGUGGAGAGUGAGAAGGGGGUUUCAAAGUCACUGGAGUAAAGGAAUUCUCCAAGCACCACCUCAUGAUUAAUUCUUGGAAAAGCCUGUUUGCGCGGCCCUUAGAAUCAUUUUGACUUCUUGUCUAAUGGUGAAGUUUUUCUCUGUAAUCCUUCUACUCUGUUUUCUAAAACCAGAACUAAAAACCUAAAAAAUUGUAAAACUUCAUGGUGUAAUUAAAACCCCUUCACCAUUUUUUUUAAGUAAGAUUGUGUGGCCUUAUUGCACAAUUUAAAUUCCUGGAAAAACCUCUUCCCAUCUGCAGUGUACAAGCAUUCUAACAUAUUAUGUCUCCUCACAGGGUGUUUCCGCUUUUGCUUCCUCCUCAUUGUCUCUUGCCACCGUCAUGUAAGAAGUGCCUUUCACCCUCCUGCCAUGAUUCUGAGGCCUCCCAGCCAUGUGGAACUGAGACCUUAAGAUAGAAAAACUGCCAGGAGGGACCUGUAGGUCUGCUUUCUCCACUCAUGUUUGGAGAACACGUCUCCAAAGAAAUUCAUCUGAACUUGAUGCAGAGAUUCCUGGACUAGAUUCCUGAGAAAUCUAAUGUCAGCUACAGAAAUGCCCCAACUGAUGAAUUUCGUCAUGAAGCAGAGCCUCAGAGCAAAAGCACAUCAGCUAAGCAUGCCCCAGUAUGAGUGGCUGAGUAUGCCAUAUUAGUCUUUCAUAGUCUACCAUAGAAGACUUUCAAUUUUUUGCUUCAUACUACUUAAAAUAAUGUAGAAAAAUCUAUGUAGUUCUUUCACAUUAAGUUAACAGCUAAAAUUUUUUACUCUAAGUUUAAUUUGUUGAAAAUGAUGCAAUAUCAGUCUAAUUGUAAAUAUUAACAUUAAAACAAACUAUUGAAUCACUUUAAUACUUUUUCAAUGGAAUCUUAAUACAAUAACAAUUCAAUGGCCACAAUAUUUAAUUGAAAAAUACGUGGACAAGGUCAUUUUAAUAGUCAGAAAUUUUCUACCAUCUAUAUUUUUCUUCCUGAGUCCAUUUCCAUUCAACUUCUCUGUAAAGAUUUUUAAUUGAAUAUAAUAUUUUUGUUCCUGAAUAUCUUAUAUUGAUCAGAUAUAUUUUACUAUAAAAAUUAUGUAUAUGAAUUGAAAUUUUACAUUAAUUUUUUUCUGUGAUGUUUCUAAGUAAUAAAAAUUUAUUCUGAAUAGA
rnacentral:lncRNA from 1 species